rnacentral:rRNA from 1 species
UACGUAGGGGGCUAGCGUUGUCCGGAAUCAUUGGGCGUAAAGCGCGCGUAGGCGGCCAGAUAAGUCCGGUGUGAAAGUCACAGGCUCAACCUGUGAAUGCCGCUGGAAACUGUCUGGCUAGAGUCCGGAAGGGGCGAGUGGAAUUCCUGGUGUAGCGGUGAAAUGCGCAGAUAUCAGGAGGAACACCAGCGGCGAAGGCGGCGCUCUGGGCCGGAACUGACGCUGAGGAGCGAAAGCAUGGGGAGCGAACAGG